AUUGAACGCUGGCGGCAGGCUUAACACAUGCAAGUCGAGCGGAGAUGAGGUGCUUGCACCUUAUCUUAGCGGCGGACGGGUGAGUAAUGCUUAGGAAUCUGCCUAUUAGUGGGGGACAACAUUCCGAAAGGAAUGCUAAUACCGCAUACGUCCUACGGGAGAAAGCAGGGGAUCUUCGGACCUUGCGCUAAUAGAUGAGCCUAAGUCGGAUUAGCUAGUUGGUGGGGUAAAGGCCUACCAAGGCGACGAUCUGUAGCGGGUCUGGGAGGAUGAUCCGACACACUGGGACUGAGACACGGCCCAGACUCCUACGGGAGGCAGCAGUGGGGAAUAUUGGACAAUGGGGGAACCCUGAUCCAGCCAUGCCGCGUGUGUGAAGAAGGCCUUAUGGAUGUAAAGCACUUUAAGCGAGGAGGAGGCUACUGAGACUAAUACUCUUGGAUAGUGGACGUUACUCGCAGAAUAAGCACCGGCUAACUCUGUGCCAGCCGCCGCGGUAACAC
rnacentral:rRNA from 1 species